AGGUAUCCGCGGAGGAGAAUGAGCUAUUUGUACCCAGCCAUGGAUGACCGCUCCACGGCGCAUUAACGGUGACUUCUGUGCUUUGGUACUCUGCGCAGCAGGCUGAAAAAACUGGCACCAGCCCCAUCAUGGAUCCAGGAAAAGGAGAAGGAAAAGAAAAGUGGUCAGAGUAAUGUAGAAAGUUUCCCAUCCCCAUUUCUACUUGUGACGGGAUUUGGCAGGCCUUGCUUAUUCCUACAAGGAGGUGGCUUUUCCUGAAAGGCUGAACCCUUUCGGGAGUGGAAAUUGCCAUUCCAGUGGCGAUGGGAUCCAGUUCCUCCUCUUUGAUUCAUGCCAUCAUGGCCUCGUGAAGAACCAUACCAGCCAGGUUGAUUGCCAGCUAGCCCAACAUGAACUCCUUUAGAAGCACCAGAGUCCACAGAAUCAUGACGGUGCAGGGAAGGCUGAUGCCAGCAGUCUGCAUGAGAGGAAGAUUUUUGUAUGAAUAAAAAUAGUCAGUACCUAAAAUA